rnacentral:rRNA from 1 species
UGCAAGUCGAGGGGUAACAUGGGGAAGCUUGCUUUUCUGAUGACGACCGGCGCACGGGUGCGUAACGCGUAUACAACCUACCUUUUAGCGGGGAAUAGCCCAGGGAAACUUGGAUUAAUGCCCCAUAGUAUAUGAACUUCUCCUGAAGUUCAUAUUAAACAUUUAUGGCUAUUAGAUGGGUAUGCGUCCUAUUAGUUAGUUGGUAAGGUAACGGCUUACCAAGGCAGCGAUAGGUAGGGGUCCUGAGAGGGAGAUCCCCCACACUGGUACUGAGACACGGACCAGACUCCUACGGGAGGCAGCAGUGAGGAAUAUUGGACAAUGGGCGAGAGCCUGAUCCAGCCAUGCCGCGUGCAGGAAGACUGCCCCAUGGGUUGUAAACUGCUUUUACAGAGGAAGAACCACUCCCACGUGUGGGAGUUUGACGGUACUCUGCGAAUAAGGAUCGGCUAACUCCGUGCCAGCAGCCGCGGUAAUACGGAGGAUCCAAGCGUUAUCCGGAAUCAUUGGGUUUAAAGGGUCCGUAGGCGGGCAGUUAAGUCAGUGGUGAAAGUCUUCCGCUCAACGGGAGAACUGCCAUUGAUACUGAUUGUCUUGAGUUAUUAUGAAGUGGUUAGAAUGAGUAGUGUAGCGGUGAAAUGCAUAGAUAUUACUCAGAAUACCGAUUGCGAAGGCAGAUCACUAAUAAUAUACUGACGCUGAUGGACGAAAGCGUAGGUAGCGAACAGGAUUAGAUACCCUGGUAGUCUACGCCGUAAACGAUGGUUACUAGCUGUUCGGAUCGAUUGAGAUCUGAGUGGUUAAGCGAAAGUGAUAAGUAACCCACCUGGGGAGUACGUUCGCAAGAAUGAAACUCAAAGGAAUUGACGGGGGCCCGCACAAGCGGUGGAGCAUGUGGUUUAAUUCGAUGAUAC